AAAUUAUAGGCAAUUAGCAAGACACCCCCAAUAAAGGAGUGGUUCUGCAGGUGGUGACCACAGACCACUUCUCCGUUCCUAUGCUUCCUGGCUGAUGUUUUGGUCACUUUUGAAUGCUGGCGGUGCUUUCACUCUAGUGGUAGCAUGAGACGGAGUCUACAACCCACACAAGUGGCUCAGGUAGUGCAGCUCAUCCAGGAUGGCACAUCAAUGCAAUCAAGACACAGCAAGAAGGUUUGCUGUGUCUGUCAGCAUAGUGUCCAGAGCAUGGAGGCGCUACCAGGAGACAGGCCAGUACAUCAGGAGACGUGGAGGAAGCCGUAGGAGGGCAACAACCCAGCAGCAGGACCGCUAUCUCUGCCUUUGUGCAAGGAGCAACAGGAGGAGCACUG
rnacentral:lncRNA from 1 species